rnacentral:rRNA from 1 species
CCUACGGGAGGCAGCAGUGGGGAAUAUUGCACAAUGGGCGCAAGCCUGAUGCAGCGACGCCGCGUGAGGGAUGACGGCCCUUCGGGUUGUAAACCUCUUUCAGUAGGGACGAAGCGCAAGUGACGGUACCUAUAGAAGAAGGACCGGCCAACUACGUGCCAGCAGCCGCGGUAAU